rnacentral:rRNA from 1 species
CAGCCGCCGCGGUAAUACGAAGGGGGCUAGCGUUGCUCGGAAUGACUGGGCGUAAAGGGCGCGUAGGCGGAUUGCGCAGUCAGAUGUGAAAUUCCUGGGCUUAACCUGGGGGCUGCAUUUGAGACGCGUAGUCUAGAGUGUGAAAGAGGGUCGUGGAAUUCCCAGUGUAGCGGUGAAAUGCGUAGAGAUGUGGAGGAACACCAGUGGCGAAGGCGACUCUCUGGUCUGUAACUGACGCUGAGGAGCGAAAGCGUGGGGAGCGAACAGGAUUAGAUACCCCCGUAGUCCCUGUCUCUUAUAC